GGGCGGAAAAGAAUGGCAUCCCAAGAGGGUCAAAAUAGUACUGUAAGAGAAUAAGCCCAAUAGAUUGAGCACGCCCCCUACUCUUUCAAAUAGUUUCGUGAAAAGGGAAACAGAAAGCAAGGUCAAGAAGAAGCAGUACUGACCUGGGAAUCUAUAGAGUGAAGAAAAAAAAAGAAGGAAGAAAAGAUCCUUUGAAAAGGCAAGAGGGAAGCGAGAUUGCUUUACCAUGUUUCUUUCCUGUGCAGGUUGUUGUCCCAUCUCAGAGCCAUCUGUCACUGUCUCCCUUGCCCGCCCCUCUGGAAAUACUGCUGCAGCCAAGCUACAGUGCGACUGUCCUCUUGUGGGCAGAAAUGCCUGCCAGGGGUUGCAAGAGGAAACCAGCCUCUAGUUGGAUGGGAACCAGAGGGCUCUGGGAACGGUAUGAUCUCAUUCCUUGGGAUGGAGCCCACAUUUUCUCACCGGGUCAAGCCACUUCUGCUUGGUCUGUGGCAACCCAGCUGGAUUAGAAAAAGAAAAGCCUGCCUGAGGAACCUCAUAGCUAAAGGCCCAAAGACAUUAAAAAUUAGGCCUAUUCCUGUCUGUUCCAGCGUUCUAAAAAAUGAGCACUCCAUGCAGGUCCCUGAGACAUGAAAAUAGGCCUUUAAAUUGACCUUUCUACAGAGACGGUUUGGAUCUCCCUAAAACUUCAGCAAACUCUGCAGAACAUUCAACAAUUUCUUAGUCGGGUAUUUCCUUUAAAAUGUCCUGUUUCUUAUCAAUUUUAGAUAUUUUUCCAAGAACCCCAGGGAGAUUUGCAGUGGAAUAAUUUAGUUCACGUGGUAAAAAUGAAACCACCACUGCUCAGCUUAUGAUGCAAUAAAUAAAGUAAGUGUAAUAAAAGAGUCACUAAAGAAAACCCGAAAGUUUGGUAUCUUAAAAAGAAAAACCACAGCAACGUGGCUUU